GCGCGAAACCUCUGCAAUGCGGGAAACCGUGACAGGGGGAUCCCAAGUGCUCAUGCAUUGCAUGGGCUGUUCUUUGGUCUAAGUAACCAGAGGAGUAAGGGCUGGGCAAGACCGGUGCCAGCCGCCGCGGUAAUACCGGCAGCUCAAGUGGUAGCCGCGAUUAUUGGGCCUAAAGCGUUCGUAGCCGGAUAAGUAAGUCUUUGGUUAAAUCCUGCAACUCAACUGUGGGAAAUCUAGGGAUACUGCUUGUCUUGAGACCGGGAGAGGUUAGAGGUACUCCUAGGGUAGGGGUGAAAUCCUGUAAUCCUAGGGGGACCACCUGUGGCGAAGGCGUCUAACUGGAACGGGUCUGACGGUGAGGGACGAAACCUAGGGGAACGAGCCG
rnacentral:rRNA from 1 species